AAGAUUUGUAGUAAAUAUGGAAAAAGAUCGUAGCGGGUUUGAAGGAUUCAAAAUAAGAGCAUAUCUAAUACCGAGUUACUUAGUUUGACGCACCUUUUAAUCCACCAAUUGUGAACAAGAAAGCAAGUAUAAAGAGUGUAGCUUGUAUUGCGAAGACGUUUUUGACAGUGAGCGCUUUUUUAAUGCAGUUUUGAUAUUGACACUGUAGAUGCCCAUUUAGCUUAAAAUCAAAUGAAUAAGAGAAUACAACUUAAUAUAUCUUCAGGAUGCGUACCUACAAGUUAUUUUUCCUACUCAUUGACUGAUGAUGAAAACAAAGGUUGCAAUGCCUUAAAAAAGUGAACCUUCAAA